rfam:Toxocara canis scaffold572, whole genome shotgun sequence.
GCGUCGGUGGUGCAGUGGUAGAAUGCUCGACUGCCACGCGGGCGGCCCGGUUCGGUUCAGGGCCGACGCA